AGCUCCAAUAGCGUAUAUUAAAGUUGUUGCAGUUAAAAAGCUCGUAGUUGGAUUUCUGCUUGUGUGUGGAACGGCGCUCAGAGAGUGUCCGGUCUAACACGCAGGCAUCCUUGGGAAAUGGCCUCUGGCAUUAAGUUGUCGGAGCGUCUCUCUUUCCCAUCGUUUACUGUGAAAAAAUUAGAGUGUUCAAAGCAGGCUUAUGCCGUUGAAUACAUUAGCAUGGAAUAAUAAGAUAGGACCUUGGUACUAUUUUGUUGGUUUGCGUACCUAGGUAAUGAUUAAUAGGGACAGUUGGGGGUAUUCGUAUUCAAUUGUCAGAGGUGAAAUUCUUGGAUUUAUGGAAGACGAACUACUGCGAAAGCAUUUACCAAGGAUGUUUUCAUUA
rnacentral:rRNA from 1 species